rnacentral:piRNA from 1 species
UAACACAGAAGUCUGCUGAGCUAUUGAG